rnacentral:rRNA from 1 species
AACGCGAAGAACCUUACCAAGGUUUGACAUCCCAGGAAGGCGCUGGAAACAGCGCUGUGCCUUCGGGAACCUGGUGACAGGUGUUGCAUGGCCGUCGUCAGCUCGUGUCGUGAGAUGUUGGGUUAAGUCCCGCAACGAGCGCAACCCUUGUCGUCUGUUGAAUUUUUCAGGCGAGACUGCCCGGGCCAACCGGGAGGAAGGUGGGGAUGACGUCAGGUCAGCAUGGCCCUUACACCUUGGGCUACACACGUCAUACAAUGGCCGAAACAACGCGUUGCCAACCCGCAAGGGGGAGCUAAUCGCACCAAAAUCGGUCUCAGUUCGGAUUGGAGGCUGCAACUCGCCUCCAUGAAGUUGGAAUCGCUAGUAACCGUGGGUCAGCAUACCGCGGUGAAUACGUUCCCGGGCCUUGUACACACCGAGUAUA